rnacentral:rRNA from 1 species
GACGAACGCUGGCGGCGUGCCUAACACAUGCAAGUCGAGCGGAGAUGUACUGAAGAUUUAUCGGAUGUACAUCUUAGCGGCGGACGGGUGAGUAACGCGUGGGCAACCUGCCUUUCACUGGGGGAUAACACAGGGAAACCUGUGCUAAUACCGCAUGACAUCACGUAGGGCAUCCUAUGUGAUCAAAGGAGAGAUCCGGUGGAAGAUGGGCCCGCGUCCAAUUAGCUGGUUGGUGAGGUAAAGGCUCACCAAGGCGACGAUUGGUAGCCGAACUGAGAGGUUGAUCGGCCACAUUGGGACUGAGACACGGCCCAGACUCCUACGGGAGGCAGCAGUGGGGAAUAUUGCGCAAUGGGGGGAACCCUGACGCAGCAACGCCGCGUGAAGGAAGAAGGUCUUCGGAUUGUAAACUUCUUUGAUGAGGGACGAAUAAAGUGACGGUACCUCAAAACAAGCCACGGCUAACUACGUGCCAGCAGCCGCGGUAAAAGUGU